CCAGACUCCUACGGGAGGCAGCAGUAGGGAAUCUUCGGCAAUGGACGGAAGUCUGACCGAGCAACGCCGCGUGAGUGAAGAAGGUUUUCGGAUCGUAAAGCUCUGUUGUAAGAGAAGAACGAGUGUGAGAGUGGAAAGUUCACACUGUGACGGUAUCUUACCAGAAAGGGACGGCUAACUACGUGCCAGAAAACCAAAAGUAAUACGUAGGUCCCGAGCGUUGUCCGGAUUUAUUGGGCGUAAAGCGAGCGCAGGCGGUUAGAUAAGUUUGAAGUUAAAGGCUGUGGCUUAACCAUAGUACGCUUUGGAAACUGUUUAACUUGAGUGCAAGAGGGGAGAGUGGAAUUCCAUGUGUAGCGGUGAAAUGCGUAGAUAUAUGGAGGAACACCGGUGGCGAAAGCGGCUCUCUGGCUUGUAACUGACGCUGAGGCUCGAAAGCGUGGGGAGCAAACAGGAUUAGAUACCCUGGU
rnacentral:rRNA from 1 species